UACGGGAGGAUCCAAGCGUUUAUCCGGAUUUAUUGGGUUUAAAGGGUGCGUAGGCGGGACAGUAAGUCAGUGGUGAAAUCCUAUCGCUUAACGAUAGAAUUGCCAUUGAUACUGCUGACCUUGAGUACAAAUGAUGUGGGCAGAAUGUGCAGUGUAGCGGUGAAAUGCUUAGAUAUUGCACAGAACACCGAUAAGCGAAGG
rnacentral:rRNA from 1 species